GAGAGUAAGCGAGCAGUUGCGAAAUAGGUAAUUAAAAUUUAUUUUGAUCACCUGUUUUGAGGAAAGUCCGGGCUUCCGCGAAGAUCAGGCUGCUGGAUAACUCCCAGUGCGAGCGAUCGCGAGGAUAGUGCCACAGAAAGAUACCGCCAGAUUUAAGUAAAUUUACUUUUGCCUUGAUCUGGUAAGGGUGCAAAGGUGUGUUAAGAGCGCACCAGCAAAAUCGUGAGAUUUUGGCUCGGUAAACCCCAGUUGGAAGCAAGGCGAGAGGAUACAAGUCUACCGAUCUUCACUCAAACUUGAAUCCGUUGCUUAGGGUAAUUGCUUAGUGAAAGCUUAGCGAUCGCGCCUAAGUGUGUGCCGCAAGAGGUAUUUGGUAACAAAUAUCCCAGAUAGAUAACUGCUAAGAGGGUUGAUAAGACUCUUGAAACAGAACCCGGCUUAUGUCUUGCUCUUUCUA
rnacentral:RNase_P_RNA from 1 species